CAUCGGCACUUAAAGUUAACCAGCGAGAGACGUUAACCACCGAGGGUCGGUUUUUAGACACGCCCAGUGCAACUAUGCACGCCUACUUUUGGAGCUCUUUAGUAUGAAGAUAAGAAAAGUAUACAGAAUUGAGGGACUGUCGACAUUGUUUUAUAUUGUUCUUGGUUUACAGACGUUACCCGUAAAUAAACUGGACCCCUGUUGUGUUUAUUUAUCGCUGCACUGAGCCUCCUGCACUACGAUGGAAUGGCGGACCAGUCUAAACAUGGUAAACAGCUAAACAGCUGAUUAAAGUAACCUGUAAGAAGAAAUGAGUUAACUAUUGUUUAUAUUAGAGACGAGAAUGUCUCGUGUUUUGUUCUGCUCAGAAAAGCAGGAACCUUGGAGUUUAUAGUUAGAUUGUAAUUCUUUCUUGAAUCAAAACUGGCCCCAGAAUGGUCAGAACAGUGGCAAAAGACUAAUCCAGAUUACCAAAAAAUAGAAAUUGUUCAGCUACCAUUCAUGCCAUAAGCAUGAUAAGAAAAAUUUUGCAGUUUCCAGAAUUUGAGGUAGAGUAUAGUCAGGAAUAGUUUAAAUAUGCAGAUGUUUAGUUUGCAAUACACAAUCAUGUCCUUGAUAGAAAAGUAGAGGAAACAAAAGAGUAUGAAAAUAGUUGAAAAAAGUAAUCAAUAUUACCUAGUCAUAAAUAAUGUAAAUAGAAAAGAGAAAGGCAAUGGUUACGACUUGGUUUUAUUAAUAGCUUUAUCAUUUGUCCAUAAUUUGGAAUGAAUCUUGACAUUUUCAUGUCACAAUUUGAUCUGAAUGCAUCCUCCUUUAUAAAAUAAUAUUAUUUUCAGUCUACUGAAACAGGUAUUUUUUUUGUUAUAAAAAAGAACAAUGAAACAAUCGUUGAACAAUUUUACCUAGCCUGUAAAGCUGAUAGCUUGUUGAUUUAUAAAAUUGAUUAACUCAUGGGUUAACAGGUAGUAAAAUUUUAUACUACAAUCCUGGUACCUGAUACAGCCUUCAAAAUCUGAAGGUUAGUUUCAACCCAGUCCUGAUAAAUUUAUCAAUGAAAACUAAUCAACAAACCAAAUAAAAAUUCACUGGGUAAAAUGAUAAUAUUUUAAGUAAUAAUACAAUAUUCAUUCAUACCAUUUGUUGCAUAAAAUAGUUUUGUUACUUAUCAUAUAUACAUAUAUGAUUUACUCCUAAUACUCUAACAGUAUUGUAUGGUAACCACUGACGGUAAGUAUGGACAAAUACUGUAUAUAGAGUGUGUAUAGGAGUACUGUAUUGUAUGGUAACCACCGACGGUAGGUAUGGACAAAUACUGUAUAAAGACUGUGUAUAGGAGUACUGUAUUGUAUGGUAACCACCGACGGUAGGUAUAGACAAAUACUGUUGAUAUACGGUAUAUAGGAGUACUAUAUUGUAUGUUAACCACCGACGGUAGGUAUAGAAAAAUACUGUUGAUAGAUAGUGCAAAUGAGUACUAUAUUAUAUGUUAACCACCGACGGUAGGUAAAGACAUAUACUGCUGAUAGACUGUGUAAUGGAGCACUGUAUUGUAUGGUAACUACCAACGGUAGGUAUGGACAAAUACUGUAUAUAUAGACUAUGUAUAGGAGUACUGUAUUGUAUGGUAACCACCGACGGUAGGUAUGGACAAAUACUGUAUAUAGACUGUGUGUAAGAGUACUGUAUUGUAUGGUAACCAUCAACGGUAGGUAUGGACAAAUACUGUAUAUAGACUGUGUGUAGGAGUAAUGUAUUGUAUGGUAACCACCGACUGUAGGUAUGGACAAAUACUGUAUAAAGACUGUGUGUAGGAGUACUGUAUUGUAUGGUAACCACCGACUGUAGGUAUGGACAAAUACUGUAUAUAGACUGUGUAUAGGAGUACUGUAUUGUAUGUUAACCACCGACGGUAGGUAUGGACAAAUACUGUAUAUAGACUGUAUAGGAGUCUUGAAUUUUAUGUUAACCACUGACGGUAGGUAUGGACAAAUACUUAUAUAGACUGUGUAUAGGAGUACUGUAUUGUAUGGUAACCACCGACAGUAAGUAUGGACAAAUACUGUAUAUAGACUGUGUAAAGGAGUACUGUAUUGUAUGGUAACCACCGACGGUAGGUAUGGACAAAUACUGUAUAUAGACUGUGUAAAGGAGUACUGUAUUGUAUGGUAACCACCGAAGGUAGGUAUGGACAAAUACUGUAUAUAGACUGUGUAAAGGAGUACUGUAUUGUAUGGUAACCACCGACGGUAGGUAUGGACAAAUACUGUAUAUAGACUGUGUAAAGGAGUACUGUAUUGUAUGGUAACCACCGACAGUAAGUAUGGACAAAUACUGUAUAUAGACUGUGUAAAGGAGUACUGUAUUGUAUGGUAACCACCGACGGUAGGUAUAGACAAAUACUGUAUAUAGACUGUGCAUAGGAAUACUGUAUUGUAUGGUAACCACCGAAGGUAGGUAUGGACAAAUACUGUUGAUAUACGGUAUAUAGGAGUACUGUAUUGUAUGUUAACCAUUGACGAUAGGUAUAGACAUAUACUGUUGAUAGACGGUAUAUAAGAGUACUAUAUGGUAUGUUAAUCACCGACGGUAGGUAUAGAAAAAUACUUAUAUAGACUGUGUAUAGGAGUACUGUAUUGUAUGGUAACCACCGAAAGUAAGUAUGGACAAAUACUGUAUAUAGACUGUGUAAAGGAGUACUGUAUUGUAUGAUAACCACCGACGGUAAGUAUGGACAAAUACUGUAUAUAGACUGUGUAAAGGAGUACUGUAUUGUAUGGUAACCACCGACAGUAAGUAUGGACAAAUACUGUAUAUAAACUGUGUAAAGGAG